rnacentral:rRNA from 1 species
AAAGGUAAGCUACUAAGAGCGAAUGGUGGAUGCCUUGACUGGUAAAGGCGAUGAAGGACGUACUAGACUGCGAUAAGCUACGGGGAGCUGUCAAGAAGCUUUGAUCCGUAGAUUUCCGAAUGGGGCAACCCAAUGUAUAGAGAUAUACAUUACCUAUAUAGGAGCGAACGAGGGGAAUUGAAACAUCUUAGUACCCUCAGGAAAAGAAAUCAAUAGAGAUUGCGUCAGUAGCGGCGAGCGAAAGCGCAAGAGGGCAAACCCAGUGCUUGCACUGGGGGUUGUAGGACUGCAAUGUGCAAGAGGUGAGUUUAGCAGAACAUUCUGGAAAGUAUAGCCAUAGAGGGUGAUAGUCCCGUAUGCGAAAAACAAACCUUAGCUAGCAGUAUCCUGAGUAGGGCGGGACACGAGAAAUCCUGUCUGAAGCUGGGUCGACCACGAUCCAACCCUAAAUACUAAUACCAGAUCGAUAGUGCACAAGUACCGUGAGGGAAAGGUGAAAAGAACUGAGGUGAUCAGAGUGAAAUAGAACCUGAAACCAUUUGCUUACAAUCAUUCAGAGCCCUAUGUAGCAAUACAGGGUGAUGGACUGCC